GCCAUGGAGGGCGGUUUGCCCAGGGGCCCCUAAACCUUGGAAUUGGUGGUAGAAGGACCUGAUGGAUGCUCAUAGGAAGGUUGCUGCUCCAAACAACUCCUUGUGUCACUGAGCUGUUGGGCAUGGUUUAAUAAAUGUGGUGAGGAGGUAAGAAGCCCGGGAAGGGGUGGCAUAAGGCAAAGAGGCUGUGUGACAUGUGUCAGGGACAGAUCUGUUGUUUUUUUUUAAAGGCCAGAAGAAAAGUGGGCAAAGGUUUGACCAGGAAGCCCAAGGGAAGGGAAGCAAAGUACCACGAGCUUUCCCAGACAGCAGGCUUUACCAUGGGUUUACUGCGAAGCUUUACUGCAAGUUCGAAUUUCCCCUAAAAAUCCAAUGCAAAAAGUGGAUAUUUUUUUUUACCCUGGAUAUAAAUUGGGCUGCAUUCUUAACGUGCAAUGAAAAACCCGAAUUGGGUUUUAAGUGAUCCCAGAUAGCUCACUGAGAGUUUGGGGUAAAUCUGGCCGAUAUGUGAAUGCACAGCUCCAUUCCAAAGGAGAUGAAAACUAAAAGCCCUGUGUGAAAAACUUCCAGGGAGUAUCUUGUGCCCUGGCCUUCUGAAAAUGUUGCUGCUGUUGCUGGUCAACUGGCAGAAUCAGGAUAUGUGCAUCUCAGACAGAAGCAGGACCAGCAGCCUUAAAGUUCAAGAGCUCAACUGCACUAACUCAGAAACAUUGUCAUUCCUGCUCAUCCCCAGUCUCUGCUGAAAACUGAAUACAAGGUCAGUCCCACUUUGGGGUAAAGAGUUGUUGAGCCACAAAAAACAGACAUAAGAAGUCUGAAAAAGAGGAAGAUUGUAUAAUGGAGAAGCAAAAACUAACAGCUGCUUACUGGAGGAAGAAGGAGGAGUCCCCCAUGCCCACCAUCCUGGAUUUCCCUUGUUUCAGAUCAUAGGAGGAGAACAUGAAAUUCAGCACUGGGUGGGCUCCUAACUGGAUUCCAAAGGCAAGAUGUCUCCAGAAGAGGCAAUGCAGCUGGAGAGAGGCAUGGGUCAUUUAUAGCUCUCACAUUCCCAAACUGAAGCUGUCCCAUUCUAGGGCCUUUUAGAAGGAACAUUCAGAAUUGCACAAUGUAUGAGGGUGUCAUUUGUGCAUGUAGUGUGCACCACUACAACACACACUUGUGCCUUUUCUUUGUCUGCACACACAUACCUUGUUGCCUAGAUUCACAUUCCAUGUCAUUGAGAAGUCUCCAUAGUGUGGGAGAAAAUCCUCAGAACUGGGAAUCUGACAGCAUUGUGGCAGAAGAGUGUUAUUAUAUCACUGGUGAAGACUCUGUAGCGAGUAGCAGUGGAGACUGCUGGAAGCAUCUUUGGCAGGAGGAGGAGAAAUGGAGAUGCUUGAUCAAGGGCUGGGUUCUAGAAGUGAACUUCCUUCACUUUUCUCAUUCUUUGCAUCCACUUUUUACAUAAUACAACUUAAGUAUGACUUGCAUUUGUGAAGUGCACAAUUUCUUUUGUUUUUGGAACUGUAUGUUUUGUGUCUGGUGGCACAUUUUUUUAAAGCCCUGUCCUAUUCAUAUCUAAACUUUCAAAGAUUGACAUUUGAAUCCAACUUUUGAAUUUCACUGUGCUGAUGAACUCAACUUCUGCUGCUGGAAUUCUGAUUCCCUUCACUGAAAUUUAAGUUUCUGACAGCUAGAUUCUACCCCCAAGACUGGAAGCAGCCCGGUGAAAUUGAAGUAUCUCCCUCAAAUAUGAGGAUGGACAUCAACAUUUGGAUUUUUCAGAAAUUCUCAUUCACACUUUCAUAUUUGUUGCCCCCACUAUUUUGGAGUGGGAAGGUGAUGUUAGUUGGUUGCAAUGUGCUCUUUGUAAUGGCUCCCUGCAUCUUUUCAGCACUCACUGAGUUGAGUUCAUAUUUAUUUCUGCCUAAAAAUGUUGCACAAAUUAUGAAGGGCCCCUUUGCACCUGGCAAAGGAGAGAACAGGAGUAAAGAUGAUGAAGGAGGAAAGGAAGUAGUGAAGGGACAAGAAAAAUGCAGAAAACUUAUGAGGAAAUGGAAAAUAAAGGCGGAAGGAAGGGACAGAGAAGAAAACCCAAACAUUAAGUGUGUGAAAGAAGAAUAAAAAAGCAAAUGCAGAAAUAUAAGAAAUGAAACGAAAAUCAUAACAGACGUAUUUGAGAAAGAAGAGGAGGAUGGAGAAAUGAGGCUGUGUAGUUAAGACAAGGUUCUAGCACACUGGCAAUGAGUCAAAUAUAGAGAGGGAAAUGGGGGAUACUUAUUGUAUGGCAAGGAAUUCUGCACUCUCAUGGAGUUUAUUUGGCUAAAAAACAAACACCACCACCCCCAAUAUAUUUCUACUUUGGAGUGCUUAGGAUGAACACUCACGCUCUUGGAAACUCCAUGGUUAACAGAGACAAGUGUUUGGUUAAGUCCCAAGCAAAACAGGUAAGUUGAAGGGAAUGGAUGAAGGAAGAUUUUGAAUAUUUGUUUUUGCAUUUCAAAAGAAAGUAAGACAUGUAUUGGAGCCAUUUAUUUUUUCUUCCUAUGUAUCUAGGUUAAGCCUGAGGGCAGUUCUCUGCCUUUUAACCAUUUUAUUUGCAGUGUCUAAUUCUCUAUGUGAAUAAUAAAAAAGGCUCAGAGAAACAGCUAGUUCAAGAAAAUCAUCCAGUGCAUGCCUAGGAGAGAAAGAAUUUGAACCCAAAGUCCCUAACAAGCACAGGGAUCACACUAGGGUCCAAUAUUUUGGCAAUGAAGGAAGAAGGGAAAGGUUCCCAGCUCCUGUCAAGAUCAAGACAAUGCUUCUGGACCAAGAGGCAAGGCCUUCAGGUGUCUUCUUCUCAUAAAAAAGCAUUGCAGAGUCCUAGAUUGAGGGAGAUCCUAUCACUACUCCUCUGACUCCUAAUGCAACCAAAGCAGUUAAGAAAGAAGGAAGGACGUAUUACUUCUGGUGUAAGAUCUACAAAAUUGUGAUGGUAAAGCCAAAAAGGUAGAUUCUGUUUUCCAUACAGUACAUGAGGAAGGAACAUUUGACACACCUCUUUGGCUGUGGGUUGUAGGACAGAUUAAACACGUGCUUUGUUUCAUUAGUUUACUAUGGGGUGAAGAGGAAGGAGAGAAGAGAUAAUGCUUGCGCAGAAUUGUAGGGAUGUGCACAUAACUGGAUUGGCCUGCUUGAUUCGAAUUCUAACCAGCUUUGAACCAGGAAGGGAAACCAGGAUGCAGCUAUGCAGCUGGAACAUGCCAGGCAAGUAGUGAAGAGACAGGAGGAGAUUGAGAAUGCAGCUGUAAUCACAAUCUCAAACUGGAAUGAGUUGAUCCCAUCACACAAUGGACACUUCCAAAUUCAAUAAUAUUCAGGUGAGACUUUUGGCUUCUGUAUUGUUCUCUUUGGAUUGCAAAACAUAUUUCUCUGGUUUGAAGACUCUUUGAACAGAUUGUCGCCUUCAGUGGUGAUUAAAUGUGAACGGAAAGGAAUGGUUCCUCAGUUCCUGUCAAGAUCGAUAAUGCUUCUGGACCAGGAGGUAAGGCCUCCAAUCUUCUUGCCAGGUGAGAGUGAUAUCACUUUAGGGUUAGCUUUUGUGAAGGAGAGAGAAACAGUGGUUGCCCCCUUCUCUUCAUGGGUUUAAAAGGAUUUGAAAAACAUGAAAAAGUCUUUGGGCUGCAAAACAUAUUUUUCUGUUGUGAUUAUUCUUUCAACAGGUUGUCACUUUCAGGGGUGGAGGAGUGAAAACUGAAGAGGUAGAGAGACCAGUGUCUUGGAGCGAUGGAACUCCCAGGCAAAAUCACAAGCAACCAGAAGUAGCUCUUCGGGGUCUUAUGGUGGGUGGAGAUGGGGCAUGGCUGCUGCGGAACUGUUAUAAACCUGCCUGAUGCACAAGAAGCAACUGGCUGAUGGAAACAUCAGCUGCCUCCAUCAAAACAGGAGAUGGGGCUUGACUGAUAUCUGGGAAUGAUGGGAUUUUCUGGCGGACAUGGGAAAUGAUCAGUCUAGCCUAAGCAAAUGGCUUUUUUUUUUUUUUUUUUUUUUGGGUCCUUGCUCACAUGCCCAGGGUAGCACUGACUGCCACUUUUGGGGUCAGGAAGGAAUUUUCCUCCAGGGUAGAUUGGCCAAGAUCCUGGAGGUUUUUCGCCUUCCUCUGGGCAUCCAGCAGGGAUCACACAUUAGAUUAGGCUAUUUUAGAAAUGAAUAGAAAUGAAAUCAAUAUGAUAAUGUUUAAAAACUUGCAAAAGCUGAACACAGAAAAUAAAAAUAGAAUACUAAAAAAAUUGAAAAUUAAUUUAUUAUUUAUUUAUUUAAAAUAUUUAUAUCCCGCUCCUGCUGUGCACUACUGCUCAGGGUGGCUCACAACAAUAAAAGCUAUAAACAUGGACAUGGAUUCUUUACUCUUUGGGGUUUUUAAUUGAUAUAGGAACUACACAGCUGAUACUCAUAGGACUUCAAGUUUCUCCAAGAUCACUUCUUUCCUCUUAGGUGGAACUAGAUCAGGAAACAUGAAUUUCCUGACUAUUAACUACUGCAUUAAUGGUUGCUGAAAAAUAUCAAUGCAAGGGCAAUCAUUUGGGG